GAGUUUGUAUCAUGGCUCAGGAUGAACGCUAGCUACAGGCUUAACACAUGCAAGUCGAGGGGAAACGAUAUUGGAAGCUUGCUUUCCGAUAGGCGUCGACCGGCGCACGGGUGAGUAACGCGUAUCCAACCUGCCCACCACUUGGGGAUAACCUUGCGAAAGUAAGACUAAUACCCAAUGACGUCUCUAGAAGACAUCUGAAAGAGAUUAAAGAUUUAUCGGUGAUGGAUGGGGAUGCGUCUGAUUAGCUUGUUGGCGGGGUAACGGCCACCAAGGCUACGAUCAGUAGAGGUUCUGAGAGGAACGGUCCCCCACAUUGGAACUGAGACACGGUCCAAACUCCUACGGGAGGCA
rnacentral:rRNA from 1 species